CCUACGGGUGGCUGCAGUGAGGAAUAUUGGUCAAUGGGCGGAAGCCUGAACCAGCCAAGUAGCGUGCGGGAUGACUGCCCUACGGGUCGUAAACCUCUUUUACACGGGGAUAACACUCUCCACUUGUGGAGGUCUGCAGGUACCAUGCGAAUAAGGGCCGGCUAAUUCCGUGCCAGCAGCCGCGGUAAUACGGAGGGCCCGAGCGUUAUCCGGAUUCAUUGGGUUUAAAGGGAGCGUAGGCGGACGGUUAAGUCAGCUGUAAAAUUGGGCGGCUCAACCGCGCCACGGAAGUUGAUACUGGAUGCCUUGAGUGCACAAGAGGCAGGCGGAAUUCGUGGUGUAGCGGUGAAAUGCUUAGAUAUCACGAGGAACCCCGAUUGCGAAGGCAGCCUGCUGGAGUGUGACUGACGCUGAGGCUCGAAGGUGUGGGUAUCAAACAGGAUUAGAUACCCGUGUAGUC
rnacentral:rRNA from 1 species